CCUACGGGAGGCUGCAGUGGGGAAUAUUGCACAAUGGGGGAAACCCUGAUGCAGCGACGCCGCGUGAGUGAAGAAGUAAUUCGUUAUGUUAAGCUCUAUCAGCAGGGAAGAAAAUGACGGUACCUGAGUAAGAAGCCCCGGCUAACUACGUGCCAGCAGCCGCGGUAAGACGUAGGGGGCACGCGUUAUCCGGAUGUACUGGGUGUAAAGGGAGCGUAGGCGGGAGUGCAAGUCUGGAGUGAAAGUCGGGGGCUCAACCCCCGGACUGCCCUGGAAACUGUACGGCUGGAGUGCAGGAGAGGUAAGUGGAAUUCAUGGUGUAGCGGUGAAAUGCAUAGAUAUUAGGAGGAACACCGAUGGCGAAGGCAGCUUACUGAACUGUAACUGACGUUGAGGCUCGAAAGCGUGGGGAGCAAACAGGAUUAGAUACCCGUGUAGUC
rnacentral:rRNA from 1 species